CCCUUAGAUGUUCUGGGCCGCACGCGCGCUACACUGAUGCAUUCAACGAGUCUAAAACCUGCUCUGAUAGGGGUGGGUAAUCUUUUGAAUGUGCAUCGUGAUUGGGAUAGAUGAUUGCAAUUUUUCAUCUUCAACGAGGAAUGCCUAGUAAACGCAAGUCAUCAGCUUGCAUUGAUUACGUCCCUGCCCUUUGUACACACCGCCCGUCGCUCCUACCGAUUGAAUGAUCCGAUGAAUAUCAUGGAUUGAGGAUUAUAGCAGGUUCGCCUGUCUUGAUCUUCGAGAAGUGAAGUAAGUCUUAUCAUUUAGAGGAAGGAGAAGUCGUAACA
rnacentral:rRNA from 1 species